GAUCACUCACGCAUUCUCUUCAUCAAAAUUCCUUUUCUUCUUUCUGUUAUACUUGUCAACAAUGGCACCAAAGACAGGAGGUAAAAAGCCAGCUGAGAAGAAACCAGUGGAGGAGAAGACGGUCGAGGAAGUUCCAGCAGAGAAGAAGCCGAAAGCCGGAAAGAAGCUACCUAAGGAUGCCGCCGUCGACAAGAAGAAGAAGAAGG
rnacentral:misc_RNA from 1 species